AACAAAUACCUGAAUGUAUCAUGUGGCAAGAUAUGUAAUGAACAAAUACCUGAAUGUAUCAUGUGGCAAGAUAUGUCCAGUAAGGUUUCAGAUGUAGAACUUAAUUUCAACAAGAAUGAAUUUUGCGAUGCGUCAUUUUUGUGUCCACUUCUUUUUCUUACGAUUGAGUCUGUUUUCCUGUCCGCCAAUAGGUUUGAAAUGUUGCAUACAGCCUCAUCUACGACUGUUACGACACGUGAUGUGGCGUACUUCUACCUUGUUUAAAUAAGGGAUAUAAAAUCUGUUUACUACUGCACACCAUUAAACACGCCAUUCCAAGACUUGACCUCGCGAUGUGCUGAGAAGCAAAACGAAUGUUGUUACGACCAUUUACAUUUAAUCGUUACACAACUUCUUCAUUUAGUGGGUACAGAGUCUAUGGCUGAAAAAUCCCAUUUAUCAGCCAACGGAAAUCUAUAUCAGCCUUACCGCCACCGGCCACUCCCGCCCACUUGAGUCAAGUGUUGGUUUUAACAGCGUAUUACGUUUAUCUAGCUCAGUCAUUCCGUCCGUAGUUGAGAGGUAGACACUUAAAAAUUAGAAACACAUUCCUGAGUAGGGAAAUACAAAACGGGGAUGGUACAGAAGUUUUAAUAGCGUAUUACGUUUAUCUACGCUAAUCAUUCCGUCCGUAGUUGAGAGGUAGACACUUAAAAAUUAGAAACACAUUCAAGAGUAGAGAAAUACAACAUGGGGAUGGUACAGAAGUUUUAAUAGCGUAUUACGUUUAUCUAACCCGAUCAUUCCGUCCGUAGUUGACAGGUAGACACUUAACAAUUAGAAACACAUUCAAGAGUAGGGAAAACAACAUGGGGAUGGUACAGAAGUUUUAAUAGCGUAUUACGUUUAUCUAAGCUAAUCAUUCCGUCCGUAGUUGAGAGGUAGACACUUAAAAAUUAGAAACACAUUCAAGAGUAGAGAAAUACAACAUGGGGAUGGUACAGAAGUUUUAAUAGCGUAUUACGUUUAUCUAACCCAAUCAUUCCGUCCGUAGUUGAGAGGUAGACACUUAAAAAUUAGAAACACAUUCAAGAGUAGAGAAAUACAACAUGGGGAUGGUACAGAAGUUUUAAUAGCGUAUUACGUUUAUCUAACCCAAUCAUUCCGUCCGUAGUUGAGAGGUAGACACUUAACAAUUAGAAACACAUUCAAGAGUAGGGAAAACAACAUGGGGAUGGUACAGAAGUUUUAAUAGCGUAUUACGUUUAUCUAACCCAAUCAUUCCGUCCGUAGUUGAGAGGUAGACACUUAACAAUUAGAAACACAUUCAAGAGUAGGGAAAACAACAUGGGGAUGGUACAGAAGUUUUAAUAGCGUAUUACGUUUAUCUAACCCAAUCAUUCCGUCCGUAGUUGAGAGGUAGACACUUAAAAAUUAGAAACACAUUCAAGAGUAGGGA